AGGGUCCUCCCUCCGUCCUAUAUUAGUUGUCGCUCAAACAGAUGUAUCUAGCACUGAAAUAUGUCUAGAUACAUCCAUUUCAGCGACAACUAAUAUGGGAUGGAGGGAGUAUUCA
rfam:Triticum urartu cultivar G1812 contig184804, whole genome shotgun sequence.